GUCCACGCCGUAAACGAUGGAUACUAGCUGUUGGAAGCAAUUUCAGUGGCUAAGCGAAAGUGAUAAGUAUCCCACCUGGGGAGUACGUUCGCAAGAAUGAAACUCAAAAGGAAUUGACGGGGGCCCGCACAAGCGGUGGAGCAUGUGGUUUAAUUCGAUGAUACACGAGGAACCUUACCAAAGGCUUAAAUGUAGAUUGACCGGUUUGGAAACAGACUUUUCGCAAGACAAUUUACAAGGUGCUGCAAUGGUUGUCGU
rnacentral:rRNA from 1 species